rnacentral:tRNA from 1 species
GCCUGGGUGGCUCAGUAGGUUAAGCGUCUGACUUCAGCUCAGGUCAUGAUCUCAUGGUUGGUGGGUUCAAGCCCUGUGUCGGGCA